rnacentral:rRNA from 1 species
GACGAACGCUGGCGGCGUGCUUAACACAUGCAAGUCGAGCGAUGAAGUUCCUUCGGGAACGGAUUAGCGGCGGACGGGUGAGUAACACGUGGGUAACCUGCCUCAUAGAGAGGAAUAGCCUUUCGAAAGGAAGAUUAAUACCGCAUAAGAUUGUAGUUUCGCAUGAAACAGCAAUUAAAGGAGUAAUCCGCUAUGAGAUGGACCCGCGUCGCAUUAGCUAGUUGGUGAGGUAACGGCUCACCAAGGCGACGAUGCGUAGCCGACCUGAGAGGGUGAUCGGCCACAUUGGGACUGAGACACGGCCCAGACUCCUACGGGAGGCAGCAGUGGGGAAUAUUGCACAAUGGGGGAAACCCUGAUGCAGCAACGCCGCGUGAGUGAUGACGGUCUUCGGAUUGUAAAACUCUGUCUUCAGGGACGAUAAUGACGGUACCUGAGGAGGAAGCCACGGCUAACUACGUGCCAGCAGCCGCGGUAAUACGUAGGUGGCAAGCGUUGUCCGGAUUUACUGGGCGUAAAGGGAGCGUAGGUGGAUAUUUAAGUGGGAUGUGAAAUACUCGGGCUUAACCUGGGUGCUGCAUUCCAAACUGGAUAUCUAGAGUGCAGGAGAGGAAAGUAGAAUUCCUAGUGUAGCGGUGAAAUGCGUAGAGAUUAGGAAGAAUACCAGUGGCGAAGGCGACUUUCUGGACUGUAACUGACACUGAGGCUCGAAAGCGUGGGGAGC